rnacentral:rRNA from 1 species
AACAUUGAAUCUUCGGAGGAUUUGUUGGGCGUCGAGCGGCGGACGGGUGAGUAAUGCCUAGGAAAUUGCCUUGAUGUGGGGGAUAACCAUUGGAAACGAUGGCUAAUACCGCAUAAUGCCUACGGGCCAAAGAGGGGGAUCUUCGGACCUCUCGCGUCAAGAUAUGCCUAGGUGGGAUUAGCUAGUUGGUGAGGUAAUGGCUCACCAAGGCGACGAUCCCUAGCUGGUCUGAGAGGAUGAUCAGCCACACUGGAACUGAGACACGGUCCAGACUCCUACGGGAGGCAGCAGUGGGGAAUAUUGCACAAUGGGCGAAAGCCUGAUGCAGCCAUGCCGCGUGUAUGAAGAAGGCCUUCGGGUUGUAAAGUACUUUCAGUUGUGAGGAAGGGGGUAACGUUAAUAGCGUUAUCUCUUGACGUUAGCAACAGAAGAAGCACCGGCUAACUCCGUGCCAGCAGCCGCGGUAAUACGGAGGGUGCGAGCGUUAAUCGGAAUUACUGGGCGUAAAGCGCAUGCAGGUGGUUCAUUAAGUCAGAUGUGAAAGCCCGGGGCUCAACCUCGGAACUGCAUUUGAAACUGGUGAACUAGAGUGCUGUAGAGGGGGGUAGAAUUUC